rnacentral:rRNA from 1 species
AGUGAACGCUGGCGGUAGGCCUAACACAUGCCAGUCGAACGGCAGCACAGUAAGAGCUUGCUCUUACGGGUGGCGAGUGGCGGACGGGUGAGGAAUACAUCGGAAUCUACUUUUUCGUGGGGGAUAACGUAGGGAAACUUACGCUAAUACCGCAUACGACCUACGGGUGAAAGCAGGGGAUCUUCGGACCUUGCGCGAUUGAAUGAGCCGAUGUCGGGUUAGCUAGUUGGCGGGGUAAAGGCCCACCAAGGCGACGAUCCGUAGCUGGUCUGAGAGGAUGGUCGGCCACACUGGAACUGGGACACGGUCCAGACUCCUACGGGAGGCAGCAGUGGGGAAUAUUGGACAAUGGGCGCAAGCCUGAUCCAGCCAUACCGCGUGGGUGAAGAAGGCCUUCGGGUUGUAAAGACCUUUUGUUGGGAAAGAAAAGCAGCAGGUUAAUACCCCGCUGUUCUGACGGUACCCAAAGAAUAAGCACCGGCUAACUUCGUG